rnacentral:rRNA from 1 species
AACGAACGCUGGCGGCAUGCCUAACACAUGCAAGUCGAACGAGACCUUCGGGUCUAGUGGCGCACGGGUGCGUAACGCGUGGGAACCUGCCCUUAGGUUCGGAAUAACUCCCCGAAAGGGGUGCUAAUACCGGAUAAUGUCUUCGGACCAAAGACUUAUCGCCUUUGGAUGGGCCCGCGUUGGAUUAGCUAGUUGGUAGGGUAAAAGCCUACCAAGGCGACGAUCCAUAGCUGGUCGGUGAGGAUGAUCAGCAACGCUGGGACUGAGACACGGCCCAGCCUCCUACGGGAGGCAGCAGUGGGGAAUAUUGGACGAUGGGCGAAGGCCUGAUCAAGCAGUGCCGCGUGAGUGAUGAAGGCCUUAGGGUUGUAAAGCUCUUUUAGCCGGGAUGAUAAUGACAGUACCGGGAGAAUAAGCUCCGGCUAACUCCGUG